UUCUGCGUAGUUUAGUGGCUAUGACGGGUCCUUGUCAUGAAGGCUUGUCCCGAUUGUUCGGACCAGACCCGGGUUCAAUUCCCGGCGCGGAAG
rnacentral:tRNA from 1 species